CCCUGCCUUGCCAGUCAACAUUGACUUCAUAAAGGAAACUGACGAAGAAGUACAAACUGAUGUCCAUAUUGAAGUCGAGACAUGGGCUCACAAUGCAUCAGUUCAAGUUGAUGCUGAACAGUUUCUCCAGAUAGAGGUAGUGCCGGAACCACAGGAUCACACCUAUUCAGCAUCAGCCAUUGCUACUACUUCAGCAGCUGAGCCCAAGGAUGUUGGAGUACAAGUUGAAAGGGAGGCAGAUCUAACAGAAGCACCUACUGAUCAGAGA